UAAGUUUUCCCGCUUAGAUCCGGGAAUACCUUGGUGGAUGACAUGGGAUUAAGUAUAUUAACCAUAUGUAGCAAUAUAUGGAACCUUAGAAAAUUCUAGGAAGGAUGCAAAAAUGAUACUGGGUCAUGCAGUAAAGAAGUAAAGUGGGGAAAAGAGAACCUCAUAGUGGCUUUCCCUAAUUCUGAAGUGCUAAGGAAGGAACUGGUGAGAAUCAAUAUAGCCGGAAGGGAGGUUAAAGUGCUUGAUUAAAAUUUUCUGGGGGUAUAUAGUCAGGUAGCUAUGUUGGCAACAAUGAGUGGCGUUAAUAAUGAUACAAAUUAGAGGUUAAGAUUGGUAUUGAAGCAAUUGAGAUGGUUCCUCGGUGACUAACAGUCUCCGAGGCAAUAGGCUGCUAGGAAUAGGCUGUUAUCCUAUGGACCACAUGUACAGCAGUAGGAGGGAGAAAUUGGCAGAUUUAUUAGUUAAAUAGAAGGGGUAAUAUAGUCAAAAAUAUAUGAAAUCAGUCCCACACUUAAUAGACUAUUAAGCUCAGAGGUUGAGACUGCUGGAAGCCCAAAAAUGAGGCAACCGUCAGGUUACCCUGCUGACAACUGGCCAGCCGGUUCGCGUAACAGAAUGCUGGAAAUUGGGUUUUUCACUUGUGGGCCCACUUCUCUGCAGCAUUGCUCCUUACACUCCCACCAAGUGUACAGGUCUAUUUGAAGAUUUUAACCCACCAUUUACCUCAGUGGGCAGUGGGGCCUACAUGGAGUUAUGAGAUGUUAAAUUAUUAAAUUAAUUUAAAUCAAUUUAUAGGGUCCAACCAAACGGACCCUAAGGUCUUAUUUGGGCUGGCCUAUAAAUACUUUCUAUCAGCCCUAAUGCCUCAUUUAUGCAAUACUAGUACUGCUAACAGAAAAGAAAAGAAAGGAAAAGAAAGAAGAGGAAGAAGAAGAAGAAGAAGAAGAAGAAGAAGAAGAAGAAGAAGAAGAAGAAGAAGAAGAAGAAGAAGAAGAAGGAGAGAAGGGAAGGAGAAGGGAAGAGGGCUUCUGCACCUAGGGCUGCUAUUGAAUAGUUCAGCCAACAGGCACCUAAGAUACUCGGCAAGGAUACACGUGGACGGGAAUUCAACGAAAAGGCAUCAGAUUCGAGUAUCAAGGCAAGAAGAAAGAGCAAAGGAAGCCAAUGUUGGCAUGUUUGGUAGCUGUGGAGUGCCAAGAAGGCAGAAGUGACCCCAUAUGCUCCUGUUCAGCCUGCAAAUAUCACUGGGGAACUCAUCAGGAAGUGUGGA